AUAUAUAUUAUUAAAUUUCAUAUUAUAAAUAAAUAUAUUUAAUAUAUAAACAUGACAUAUUUUUCUUAAAUAUAUAGAUGCAUGUGUUUUUGUAUAUUUAUACAAAAUAAAAAUAGACGGUACACCUUUAAAUGAACAAAAACUUUUAUUUUGGAUGCAAUUAAUCGUUUGACAGCACUAAUUAUAAUAUAACAUUUUCUGUUUUUGAAAUUCUAAAACCUUUUUUUUUACAGGUUUAAAUUCGAAUUUUCCGAUUUUUAAAUCCCUCUGGUAUGUGUAUACCAUAUAUUGAUAGAUACUGAGUAUUGUCAAUUUCAUUUAACACAUUUUUCCAUGUUUCAUGUUUUUACUCGUGUGCAAAUCCAUGUUUUCUUCACAAUGAGCACAGAAAUGUGAACCGGCUGUAUUCUGUCUGUAGGUCACUCGGUGUCAUCUACCUCACAGUGUGUGAUGGUUUUACUCGUGUCCAGUGUUGUACCAUGGGUCAUGCUUGGGGUUUUUAUUUUCUUUACAUAAGAAUGAUCUGUUAUUUCAGAACCCCGUCUGUUUGAAAGAAGACCACAAGGGUGUGUUGUGUUGUUUGUGUGUGUGAGACCUGAAUGUACUGAGUGUGUGAAUGUGUGUCACGGCGAGCGUCACAGACUCUGGUAGGAUUUUACUCGUGGGUGUGUAGUGAAGGAUCUCCCUUUAAGUGAUAUUCGUGCCUCUGAGUAAUUGAAAUAAAAGUGCUACACUAUGUCAGAGCCUAUGAGUCUUGAUUUCAGUGCUUUCUGACUCAUCUCGAUGCACAGGAAGAGGAAGUAGCUCCAGGAAUGAUGCAACUGGGGAAUUUUUCAGAGCAUUUCAGUGUAGGAGUGUAGAUCAAACAUUAUUCUGAAACUAUUUUUAACUUUUUUUUAUAUAUAUAUAUAAAAAUAACUUUAAUAAUUCUUAUAUAUGCAAUUUGAGUAUGAGCUUACAUUAUAAAGUUGCAUUAAAAGAAACAAAUAUUUUGCACGAGACAACGUUACAAUAACAAAGUUUUGCAUGUAUCCAACACCAGGAGGCGCUAAAAUAAUGGCCUUAAAGUCAAAAGUAAAGCUGUGGGCUGCAGAUACUAGGUGUUUUUACUGUCCUUUUUUUUUAUGCAUUUAUUGACUUUUGACGGUCUGAGGUCUAGAACUAUCAGCCAAAUCAAUAUUUGUUCUUUGUCUUGUUUGGUUUCUAGAGACAUGAAUACACAAUGUAAAACCUGCCCAACCCUUAUAUAUAUACACUCUAAAAAACGCUGGGUUGUUUUUUCAACCCAACUGCUGGGUUGAGGCCGUUGGAUAGGACUUUGGGAUGUUUUAACCCAAGUUUGGGUUGAAAAUAAGGUUUAAAAAAAAAAAGUUUAACCCAGCGGGUCUGGGUUGAGGACGCGGACGUGAAGGAGAGCACGCACGUCACGUCAAGAUCGUACGUCUCCAGUGCGAGCAGCCGCCAUUUUCUCAGCGUGAUAGAAGCGAGAAGCGAGUGAAAGACUAUGACUUGUCAAGCUUGUGUCUUCAUUGUCCUCGCGCUGAGAGUUAAAGACACAGAAGCUGUUUGUGUGAGGAGUCACAGACCUGUGUGAGGAUGAGGAGGAGGUGUUUUUCUGAAGAGAGGGACAGACGGUUUAAGGAGAGUAAACUUCAGAAUAACAUCAAGUUAUCUUUAUUUUUACUAAGACUAAAAUAAUGUUGUUGUUUUUUUAGAUGUUGCAAUCCAGAGACAAGAUAACUUCAUUCUUUUGAGACUGAUAACUCAAACUAUCUGGAGUUAAGGACACAGAAGUCUGCUUGUGUGAGGAGGAGGUUUUCUCAGCUUCUUCUGAAGAGAGGGAAAGAUCGU